GACGAACGCUGGCGGCGCGCUUAACACAUGCAAGUCGAACGGAAAGGCCUGCUUUCCCUUGUGGAUUGCGGGUACUCGAGUGGCGAACGGGUGAGUAACACGUGAGUGAUCUGCCCCCAACUUGGGUAUAAGCCUGGGAAACUGGGUCUAAUUCCCGAUAGGACUGCAGGGUGGUGCCUGUGGUGGAAAACGAUUUUCUAGUGGUUGGGGAUGAGCUCGCGGCCUAUCAGCUUGUUGGUGGGGUAAUGGCCUACCAAGGCGGCGACGGGUAGCCGGCCUGAGAGGGUGGACGGCCACAUUGGGGCUGAGAUACGGCCCAGACUCCUACGGGAGGCAGCAGUGGGGAAUAUUGCACAAUGGGCGGAAGCCUGAUGCAGCGACGCCGCGUGGGGGAUGACGGCCUUCGGGUUGUAAACUCCUUUCGACCGCGAGGAAGCCACCUGGUUGGAAGGGUGGUGACGGUAGUGGUAGAAGAAGCACCGGCUAACUACGUG
rnacentral:rRNA from 1 species